GAAGGCAAGGAGGACAAAGAGAAGGUAUUAAGUACUUGGCUUUCCGUGAAAUUAUUUUUUUAAUCAACGUGAAAUCUCGACAGUAAUCAUGGUGGACCGUGCAAACAGUAUCAAACAAAUGAUUCCGGCAUUGCCGGAUGAGAAAAUCGAUAUGCUGGCAGCUACAAGUGUGCUCCAGCAACAAGCUGCUGAUAUUAGAAAUCAACGAAUUAAUUGGCAAUCGUAUUUUCAAUCACAAAUGAUAUCAAAAGAAGAUUAUGAUUUUAUAGCAGCCUUUGACUCAAGCGAUGCUAAAACUAGAGAAAACAAGCUGAAAGAAAAUCCACACCAGGCAGCUAAAACGUUCCUCAAUUUGCUUGGUCAUGUUUCAAAGGAUCAGACAAUUCAAUAUAUUCUCACAAUGAUUGAUGAUAUGUUACAGGAGGAUCGCAGUCGCGUGGAAAUCUUUCGCGAACACUCUACGCGCAAACGAGAAUCUGUUUGGGGGCCAUUCCUUAAUUUGUUGAACAGGCAAGAUGGCUUUAUAAUGAAUAUGACAUCGCGUAUUAUAGCUAAGUUGGCUUGCUGGAGUCACGAUCUCAUGGAGAAAACUGAUCUUCAGUUUUAUUUAACAUGGCUUAAGGAUCAGUUGAAACUUAGCUUCGAUGCUCUUCAGGAUUAUACAGACUUGCAUGCGGGACUAGAACAAGAUGCUGUGGAGCAGGCCAAGGAGGCCAAUGAACUGCACGAAUUGUUCAACCCGAACAACGAGUACAUUCAAUCAGUGGCACGAUGUCUACAAAUGAUGCUUCGUAUAGACGAAUAUCGCUUUGCAUUUGUGUCUGUCGAUGGAAUUUCAACCCUCCUCAGUGUUCUAUCUGGCAGAGUAAACUUCCAAGUACAAUAUCAGCUUAUUUUUUGUUUGUGGGUACUUACUUUCAAUCCUCUUUUGGCAGAAAAGAUGAAUAAAUUCAAUGUAAUACCCAUUCUCGCUGAUAUACUCAGUGAUUCAGUCAAAGAAAAAGUAACACGUAUUAUACUUGCAGUGUUUAGGAAUUUGAUUGAAAAAGUAGAAGAUGGACAAGUUGCUAAGGAACAUUGCAUCGCUAUGGUACAAUGCAAAGUAUUGAAACAGCUUUCGAUAUUAUGCCAACGAAAGUUUGACGACGAGGACAUCACUGAUGAUAUUGAGUUCCUCAAUGACAAACUGCAAGCAUCCGUACAGGAUCUAAGUUCAUUCGAUGAAUAUUCGACAGAAGUAAAAUCUGGUCGUUUAGAAUGGUCUCCUGUUCACAAAUCGGGCAAAUUCUGGCGCGAGAAUGCUAGCCGUCUUAACGAAAAGAAUUACGAACUCUUACGGAUUCUAGUCCACCUAUUAGAAACUAGUAAAGACCCACUUGUUCUUAGCGUAGCUAGUUUCGACAUCGGUGAAUAUGUACGCCAUUAUCCACGUGGCAAGCACAUAAUUGAACAACUUGGCGGAAAACAGCGCGUAAUGCAACUUCUUGGACAUGAAGAUCCUAAUGUUAGAUACGAGGCUCUUCUUGCAGUACAAAAACUUAUGGUACAUAAUUGGGAGUAUCUUGGAAAACAAUUAGAGAAGGAACAGACAGGUGCAUCUGGAGCACCUACCAACAAGCCUGGAGCACAAGUACCAGCAAAAGCUUGAAUAUUUGUGCAAUUUACACAAAUUUUCUGAUUUCAAGAAAGUUUCAAGAGUAUUAUAAUUCACGACGCUAAUUGUAUUAAAAGAAAUUUAAAGAUAUAAGGUACUUCAAUUUCAUCUACGGUAUCUUCUUCACCAC